AGACUCACUUGUGCAUGUGUGAAAUGACAGCACUUCAGAGCGGCUCAGCUUAUAACAGCAAAAGCUUGGAAAUGGCCUGAAUGCCUAUCAAGAGGGCACUGGUUAAAGAAACGAUUGUCCCUCCAAACAACAGAAUUCUGUGCAGCAGACGGCGCCUGAGCGAUCUUUGAGAACUACUGCAGAUGCCUGGCCCAGCUCUGGCCCCGGUGCGGCCUGCAUGCCAAGCGCUUCAUUAGCUGGGAAAGAAGACUCUUGCCCUCCUUCGUCUAAUCCUCGCCAGUGACCUUCAGGAACCAGGCACCUUCUGACGUUGGGAGCCUGGGACGGUGCAAUCAUCAAUUACACCGUGGCCUCUGCAGCUGUUCCUGAAUGGAUUUCUUGCUCAGAGAAGCGUGUUUGAAAAGCAUCUAAUGGAACGGAUCAUCAAUUUGUUUGAAUACACAUCUAAUCUGAUUAGGGGGGCACUGGCCACCAGGGCAGCUAGUACAACUGAGCCUUGACAUGGCCCCAGGGAAUCGUAAGUGGGGUGGCGGGGCCAGUCUGGGGAAGGAGGGCUGUGUGCCCUGGGCCUGCCACCGAGCCCUCCUUGAGCUCAGCCCAUGGUACGUCCAGCCAAAAAAGUCACAGAGAAAAGCAGAACACAUCACACAGAUGCCAGGAGAGCUGGGCCCAAGACUCCUGUUUUUCUAUAGCCCUGGCACUGGGCACAGAGCCUGAGACAAAGAAGAUGCUUGGGAAAUAUGUGGCAAAUGAAUGACAGUAAGGCCCAACAUGGAAGCCAAGGGAUGUUGAAUAAAGUCAUCUGCGGGACAAGACUAGGUGAUGCCUGUAUUGGGUUGAAUAUGUCUCCCUCAAAUUCAUGUCUUCCCAAAACCUCAGAAUGUGACCUGAUUUGGAAAUCGAGUCUUUGGAGAUGUAGUUUGUUAAGAUGAGGUCACGCUGGAGUAGGAUGGGCCUUCCGUGACUGGUGUCUUGGUAGGAGGAGAAGAAACACAGGGAAAGAGACACACAAGGAGAAGACAAGAGCCAAGUAAAGACAGAGACAGGGACUGAAGCGAUGCAUCUACCAGCCAGGGAACGCCAAGGACUGCUGGGAGCCACCAGGCAGGCCUAGGACGGGGGCAGGACGGAGCCUCCCGUUGAGCCUGCAGAAGGAGCAUGCCCCUGUCACCCUGAUUUCAGACUUCUGGCCUCCAGAACUGUGAGAGAACAGAUUUCUGCUGUUUAAAGCCACCCAGCUUAUAGUACUUUGUCAUGGCAGCCCAGGAAACUCAUGCAAUGCCUACAGGAAGCUUUGUCCGUCAUUCCACAGAAGGCAGCAUGGCAGAGAACCAGAAGGAAGUCCGAGCCCUGCCUCGCUGGAUGUAGCUGGUCGUUCCCAGACACAUCACGUGCGCCAUGCCACUCUCUUCCCUGGGGAGCCCUUUCUUUCCUUCUUUACCAGGAAAAUAUUGGUUUUCAAUCCAUGUUAGUUCCUGUCCAGCACUCCUUCAAAGCUCAAAUGCCAUGUCCUCUGUAACUCUUCUUCAGAUGUCCUCCUCAGACUCCUGAGAUCGCCUCCCUCCCAACAUGCUUGGUGAUUCCCAUGCUACAUCCCCUACUGCUGGGCACACUGGGGCUCCCUCAUCUCCCUAGCCCCAGAGCCUGGCAACAGCCUGGCCUGCAGAAGAGCCCAGAUCCAUGAGAAAGUGGGCAAGCAAACUUGCUGUGGACCAGCGGGUGCCUCCCUUCUUGGGAGUGGACCAGAAUGGAGAUCACAAAGUUCCCUUCCAGCCCUGACAUUAUAAGAGCUGAGUAGCCCUCUGGGGGAUGACCUUACUGGGCCCUGUAAUGGGACCACCUGGGUUCAAACCCAGUGGACUCUGCCACUCACAAGCUGUGUUUCCCUGGGCAUCAUUCUGUAACUCUGCUGCACCUCUCCUGAAAAAUAGGGAUAGCAGUGCCUCCCUCAUUGGCCUAUGGAAAGGGGUAAGUGCUUCAACCAGUGCCUGGUACAGAGAAAGAGCCCUUGAAAAGAAGGCUGUUAUUAUUCCUCAUCUUGGCUUGGUGCAGCCUCUGCAAGCCCAUCUCAUAGCCGGGGCCUCUUGUUUGAACCACACAGGUAAACAGGGCCAAAGCACCUCCAACCUUGCAUGGAAAAAAGACGGUUCUCAUUUCCAAUAGGUUUAUUUUGCAGUUAACAGAGGGGAAGGGGGCUCUUUCUUACAUUUCCCUUGGAGGGUUCAGAGAUUAAACUUAUACCAUCGAUUAGAAUGUUUUGGCCUAACGGUGAUAGUAUCAUUUUAGUGUAUUCAGAUUCAUUUGAGCUAUAAAAGUGGCGAUAAUAAAAUAUUCACUAACUCCUGGAA
rnacentral:antisense_RNA from 1 species